rnacentral:rRNA from 1 species
AUUGAACGCUGGCGGCAGGCCUAACACAUGCAAGUCGAGCGGAUGAAGAGAGCUUGCUCUCUGAUUCAGCGGCGGACGGGUGAGUAAUGCCUAGGAAUCUGCCUGGUAGUGGGGGACAACGUUUCGAAAGGAACGCUAAUACCGCAUACGUCCUACGGGAGAAAGUGUGGGAUCUUCGGACCUCACGCUAUCAGAUGAGCCUAGGUACGAUUAGCUAGUUGGUGAGGUAAAGGCUCACCAAGGCGACGAUCGUUAACUGGUCUGAGAGGAUGAUCAGUCACACUGGAACUGAGACACGGUCCAGACUCCUACGGGAGGCAGUAGUGGGGAAUAUUGGACAAUGGGCGAAAGCCUGAUCCAGCCAUGCCGCGUGUGUGAAGAAGGUCUUCGGAUUGUAAAGCACUUUAAGUUGGGAGGAAGGGCAGUAAGUUAAUACCUUGCUGUUUUGACGUUACCGACAGAAUAAGCACCGGCUAACUUCGUGCCAGCCGCCGCAGUAA